CUACUAGGGUAUCUAAUCCUGUUUGCUCCCCACGCUUUCGCGCCUCAGUGUCAGUUACAGACCAGAAAGUCGCCUUCGCCACUGGUGUUCCUCCAUAUCUCUACGCAUUUCACCGCUACACAUGGAAUUCCACUUUCCUCUUCUGCACUCAAGUCUCCCAGUUUCCAAUGACCCUCCACGGUUGAGCCGUGGGCUUUCACAUCAGACUUAAGAAACCACCUGCGCGCGCUUUACGCCCAAUAAUUCCGGAUAACGCUUGCCACCUACGUAUUACCGCGGCGGCUGGCAC
rnacentral:rRNA from 1 species